GAUGAAGAACGCAGCGAAAUGCGAUAAGUAAUGUGAAUUGCAGAAUUCAGUGAAUCAUCGAAUCUUUGAACGCGCAUUGCGCCCGCCAGUAUUCUGGCGGGCAUGCCUGUUCGAGCGUCAUUACAACCCUCAGGCCCCCGGGCCUGGCGUUGGGGAUCGGCGGAGCCCCCCGUGGGCACACGCCGUCCCCCAAAUGCAGUGGCGGUCCCGCCGCAGCUUCCAUCGCGUAGUAGCUAACACCUCGCGACUGGAGAGCGGCGCGGCCACGCCGUAAAACACCCAACUCUUCUGAAGUUGACCUCGAAUCAGGUAGGAAUACCCGCUGAACUUAAGCAUAUCAAUAAGCGGAGGA
rnacentral:misc_RNA from 1 species